rnacentral:rRNA from 1 species
CUUGGUCAUUUAGAGGAAGUAAAAGUCGUAACAAGGUUUCCGUAGCUCAAGUCUACGAAGAACAGUAAUGUUCCUUCCGCAGAGUACACUUGCAGAAGCCUUAGUGGCCCUAAAGGGUUUCAUCAGCGACUAUAAACAACUAGGUGAAUUAAACGCUAGUCUCCACUUUGGAGGCGACACUAUCAAAUUGCGGGAAGAUCCUGUCAAGUCCACAUUACCGCGGCUCGCCGAAAGGUGCAGUGCAGCACCAGGUUAAUGACCUUGGGUAAGGUAAUAGCAUGUGGAAUAGGGAGAAUCCGCAGCCAAGCCCCUAAUGAUGGGGUGCAGUUCACAGGCCAAAUGGUAGUGGGCACUUAGUGCUUAAGAUAUGGUCGAGUCCCAAUUGCAAAGUUGGGUACAAGUACUCUGAAUCAGCUUGUUAAAUGCAAAUGUUCCGUAGGUGAACCUGCGGAAGGAUCAUUAAUGAAUGACAAGUCGGCCUUCUGUGCUGGUGGAAACACAUGUGCACGUCGGUCGCAAAUCCACACACCUGUGCACCUUUGACUUUGGGAUCCGCUCGUCUUUUGACCUGCAGCAGGUGGGCUUCGUGCUCGCCUGGGUCUCAGAGUAAUUUUUACACACUCUUGAAUGUAAUGGAAUGUCUCUGUGCUUAAUGCGCAUAUAUACAACUUUCAACAACGGAUCUCUUGGCUCUCGCAUCGAUGAAGAACGCAGCGAAAUGCGAUAAGUAAUGUGAAUUGCAGAAUUCAGUGAAUCAUCGAAUCUUUGAACGCACCUUGCACCCUUUGGUAUUCCGAGGGGUACACCCGUUUGAGUGUCAUUGUAAUCUCACUCCGACGACUUUUUGUUGUCUGGAGGUGGAUCUGGACCUUUGCUGUGUAACAAACGGCUGGUCUGAAAUACAUGAGUUGCACCCUGCUGUAGCAGCGUCUUCAGUGUGAUAAGUAUCCUCACUGAUUCAAGUUCCCUCCUUUGGGACACGCCUUGCCUGGUGGGCCCUGCGCUUCUAAUCGUCCUCUAUGGACAGAAUGCUUUGACAAUUUGACCUCAAAUCGGGUGGGAUUACCCGCUGAACUUAAGCAUAUCAAUAAGCGGAGGA